GAUGAACGCUGGCGGCGUGCCUAAUACAUGCAAGUCGAGCGAAUGGAUUAAGAGCUUGCUCUUAUGAAGUUAGCGGCGGACGGGUGAGUAACACGUGGGUAACCUGCCCAUAAGACUGGGAUAACUCCGGGAAACCGGGGCUAAUACCGGAUAACAUUUUGAACCGCAUGGUUCGAAAUUGAAAGGCGGCUUCGGCUGUCACUUAUGGGUGGACCCGCGUCGCAUUAGCUAGUUGGUGAGGUAACGGCUCACCAAGGCAACGAUGCGUAGCCGACCUGAGAGGGUGAUCGGCCACACUGGGACUGAGACACGGCCCAGACUCCUACGGGAGGCAGCAGUAGGGAAUCUUCAGCAAUGUACGGAAGUCUGACGGAGCAACGCCGCGUGAGUGAUGAAGGCUUUCGGGUCGUAAAACUCUGUUGUUAGGGAAGAACAAGUGCUAGUUGAAUAAGCUGGCACCUUGACGGUACCUAACCAGAAAGCCACGGCUAACUACGUGCCAGCCGCCGCAGUAA
rnacentral:rRNA from 1 species